rnacentral:rRNA from 1 species
GUAGUGAUUUCUGCUCAAUGUAAAUAGCCGCAGUACUUUGACUGUGCAAAGGUAGCAUAAUCAAUUGGCUUAUAAUUGAAGUCUAGGAUGAAUGAAAUAUGGGGAAUUCUUUAUCUAUAUAGUAAUGAAAUUACUUAGUAAGUGAAAAUUCUUACUAUAAUAAUAGACGAGAAGACCCUAGAAAUUUUAAGUUUUGUUGGGGCAACAUGGUAAUACAAUAUGAAAUUAUUUGUUGUAAAGUAAAUUACUCUAGGGAUAACAGCAUAAUUUUUAAUGUUUGUGACCUCGAUGUUGGAUUAAGGAUAAUCAAGA